CUGAAGUCAGGCUCGAUCAAUUUUGUUCAAUCUUCACCUGUACAUCUCAAUCAUAGGAAACCCAUCUUGAUUCGAUCAUGUUCAGUCAAAGCUCAUCAAGCUCUGGGG